GUCAGGGUGAUGUAAGCGAGACUUGAAGGGGACUGCUCUCUUUCGGUUUCACUUUUGGGCUUUCGUACAGACCACUGCCACGCCGGCUGGCUAGGUUGCACUGGUAGGUUUCAAAUGGCCCUUCCUGGCCUGGCAAUUGAAGAGAAGAUGACCUUGAAAUCCCAGCUCCUUGGCCUCUGCUUCCCAAGUCCUGGAAUUUGAGGCAUGUUUCCUCACCCUGGCCUUGAAUCGGAGUCUUCUUUGGGAUCUUCCCAGCUUUAUAUUUCUGAUCUGGUCACAAAGCAGAAGCAGAAGGCAUCGGUUGCGUCUCUGUGAAAAAGAAUGCCAGCUGGAAUGAACACAGUUAGGGAAAGCAAAGAUAGGAAGACCAACUCUGUGAAGAGGAACUCCAGAAAGACGCUGUGACUGCAGAGACAGGCACUGUUAGAACAUCAGUGCUGUGGGGAAGCUGGGCGGUGGCCAGUCCAAAAGCUGGUUACCUCAUCCUGGUGCCUAUCCUUGCCCACUUCUGGGUCAGAACUAACAGUUUGUGACUAACAGAUGGGAAUCUUUUAGAAUCUAUUAACUUCGAAGACCAGUAGCUUCCACCAACCCCACAGCUAAGAAUGUCAUCAGACACUAUCUUGGGUCAAGAGCAAAUCUUCUUCAGUUGGCUGUAACUGUUUCUUAAAUGUACCCACCUAUGGAGUUGAACUUGCCUUGAUUUAAGACUUCUUUGUUCUAUAGAACCAUGAAACAACUUACACCUUGGAACAUGGAAUUUGGAGUAGCCAAAAUCUAUGUUCCUCAGUCAUGGUCACUGGAAAUAGCUCCAGAAUAAACUAUCUCCCAUUCCCCUUUAGAUGAGAGCUGUGAUGGGGUGUGUGUGUAACAACUCUUAGUUUGUUAAGACAUAACACAUGGGGGCUGAAGAGAUAGCUCAGUUGGUAAAGUGCUCACCUUGCAAACACGAGGGCCUGAUUUUUGUCCUCAGAAUCUUCAAAUAUUAAAAAGUUGGGGCAUGUUAGCAACCUCAGCACUAGGGAAGUAGGAACAGGAGGACCCCUGGGAAAGGAGAUAGACAGAACUUAAGAAAUGGCACUUGAGGCUGAUCAUGGUGGGGUGUGCCCUUAAUCCCAGUGCUUGUGUGGCAGAGUCAGAUGAAUCUCUGAGUUCAAGGCCAGCCUGUAGCAAGUUCAGGACAGCAGGGCUACAUGCUGAGACCCUGUGCCUUCACUUGGUUUCUGGUGCAGUGAUUCAGAGCAGGUUGGGCAAGGGAAUAGUCAAGUUCAUCUCCCAGUCCAUCACUGAGAGAAGUCGGGGCAGGAACUCAAGAUGGGAGCAUGGUGGCAGGAACCGAAGCCAGGCCAUGGAGAACAACUCUUACUGGCUUUGCUCCUCCUGGAUUACCAAGUUUGCUUUCUUGUACAACCCAGAACCACCUGCCAAAAGAUUGGCACCACCCACAGUGGGCUGAGUCCUCCCACACCAAUUUUUAAUUAAGAAAAUGUCCUAUUAGCUCAACUACAGGCCAAUCUUAUGUAGGAAUUUUCUCAGUUGAGGUUCCGUCCUCUCAGACAGCUUGUGUCAAGUUGACAAAAAAGACAAUCAACACACCCUGCCUCAAUAAAUAAACAGAACACAUGAGGAUGUCCUUUAACUUCCAUGCACACACACACACUCAGAUGAACACACACACACACACACACACACACACACACACACACACACACACACGCACACACACGAGACUGUCCUUUGACUUCCAUGUGUGCUUGCAUACACACACACACAAACACACACACACGCUCCACAGAACAGAUACAUAAAUGACUUGAUGUCCAGCCCUUCAGCAAUUGCCAUCAGGCAUCCCUAUGUGGGGAUAAGCAGAGGUAGGAGCCAGGAGUAAAGGCUACUUUUUUUUCUUUUUCCUUCUUAUCCACUUUGCUUCUGUUUCAUUCCGAGAGGCUUUCACACCGGAGUCUAGACUUCAUGAGGAAGAUAAUUUUGGCAUUUGAUUGCCUUUUGUAGUUUGGGUUGUGAAAUUUCCUGUGACAGACAGAACAAUCCACCCUCUUCAAUUUUAUGCAGAUGUAAACUCAGUUCCACUUAAAAACAAUUUUUUUUUUGAGAGCGCCUUUGUUUCCUCUGUAGUAGAAAAUUGUGAAAGUUUUUGAGUUAGGAAUAAAACCUUACUUUGACUUCAAAAGAUAUAAUUAAGGGUCCAAGGCAUAGUAUUCUAAUUAGCUUUAAUUGUUGAGAGCCUUAACAGAGGAGUUGCCUAGAUAGGAUAGGCCUGCGCACACUCACUGUCUUCAUUGUUAAUUGAUAUAGAAGGAUUCAGUUCACUGUGGGUGGCACCAUUUCCUGAGCAGGUGGUCCUGGAUGCUAAGAAAAGCUAGCUGAGUAGAAGCCAGCCUGGAAAACAACAAGCAGUGUUCUUUGUGGCUCCUGCUGCACUUCUUUGCCUGUGAGUUCUUUGGUGGGGGCAAUACGUUAUGGAAGAGAGCAGGCUGCCUUCAAGUGUCUGCCUUAACUUCUGCUAAUGAUGCACUGUGAUCUGCAGUACAAGCCAGAAAAACUGGCGGGAGGAUUUAAUCACAGCAACAGAAAGUAAAUUAGAAUACAUAGUAACAUGAAUAGGUAAAAAAAAUGAAGGUGUAAUUAGGCCUCAAAUGGCAAAGAAUGGCUGUAUUAGAGUAAGAGACAUGAGGCCAGAGCCUUCAGGUUGGUGAGCUAUGGGUACAUGCUUCUCAAAUCCCACUUAGAAAUGGCGGUAGGAAAUAAUAAAGUGUACUGCAUGUAGAUAAAUGGUGUAUUAUUCCAG
ensembl:lncRNA